AGGGACAAUGUUUUCAGUUAUAGUCCUUGUCUUAGGACUUUCUCAAACUGUACCUUCAAAUAACUGAAAACAAAAAAAUCUUUGGUCUUUAAGACUUGUAAGCCGUGGGUAUAAAUCUUUGUCUUUGUCAAGACAUGUGUAAGUCGUGGGUAAUAAAUCUUUGUAAGCCGUGGGUAAGGAAUCUGUUUUUAUUUAUAGUUUUUUGUCUUAAGACUGAGCCGCAUGCUCUUAUUUGCCAUCCCAUAACGCCCUUCUUUAUACAUGCACCACCAACCCAUAUUGUCGGUCCAUUAGGGGAUGACAUAAGUUUCUUUUAGAGGUAGCAAGAGACAAUAUUUUCAGUUAUAGUCCUUGUCUUAGGACUUUUUCAAACUGUACCAUUCAAAUAACUGAAAACAGAAAAGUCUUUGGUCUUUAAGACAUGUAAGCCGUGGGCAAUAAAUCUUUGUCUUUGUCAAGACAUGUGUAAGCCGUGGGUAAUAAAUCUUUGUAAGCCGUGGGUAAGGAAUCUGUUUUCAGUUAUAAUCUUUUGUCUUAAGACUGAGCCGCAUGCUCUUAUUUGCCAUCCCCUAACGCCCUUCUUUAUACAUGCACCACCAACCCAUAUUCUCGGUCCAUUAGGGGAUGGCAUAAGUUUCUUUUAGAGACUGCAAGAGACAAUGUUUUCAGUUAUAGUCUUUUUUUAGGACUUUCUCAAACUGUACCAUUCAAAUAACUGUAAACAGAGAAAUCUUUGGUCUUUAAGACUUGUAAGCCGUAGGUAAAAAAUCUUUGUCUUUGUCAAAACAUGUGUAAGCCGUGGGUAAUAAAUCUUUGUAAGCCGUGGGUAAGGAAUCUGUUUUCAGUUAUAGUCUUUUGUCUUAAGACUGAGCCGCAUGCUCUUAUUUGCCAUCCCCUAACACCCUUCUUUAUACAUGCACCACCAACCCAUAUUCUCGGUCCAUUAGGGGAUGGCAUAAGUUUCUUUUAGAGAUAGCAAGGGACAAUGUUUUCAGUUAUAGUCUUUGUCUUAGGACUUUCUCAAAUUGUACCAUUCAAAUAACUGAAAACAGAAAAGUCUUUGGUCUUUAAGACUUGUAAGCCGUUGGUAAUAAAUCUCUGUCUUUGUCAAGACAUGUGUAAGCCGUAGGUAAUAAAUAUUUGUAAGCCGAGGAUAAGGAAUCUGUUUUCAGUUAUAGUCUUUUAUCUUAAGACUGAGCCGCAUGCUCUUAUUUGUGAUCCCCUAACGCCCUUCUUUAUACAUGCACCACCAAACCAUAUUCUCGGUCCAUUAGGGGAUGACAUAAGUUUCUUUUAGAGGCAGCAAAGGACAAUGUUUUCAGUUAUAGUCCUUGUUUUAGGACUUUCUUAAAUUGUACCAUUCAAAUAACUGAAAAUAGAAAAGUCUUUGGUCUUUAAGACUUGUAAGCCGUGGGUAAUAAAUUUUUAUCUUUGUCAAGACAUGUGUAAGCCGUGGGUAAAAUUUUUUUGUAAGCCGUGGUAAAGGAAUCAAUUUUCAGUUAUAGUCUUUUGUCUUAAGACUGAGCCGCAUGCUCUUAUUUGCCAUCCCCUAACGCCCUUCUUUAUACAUGCACCACCAACCCAUAUUCUCGGUCCAUUAGGGGAUGGCAUAAGUUUCUCUUAGAGGCAGCAAGGGACAAUGUUUUCAGUUAUAGUCUUUGUCUUAGGACUUUCUCAAAUUGUAACAUUCAAAUAACUGAAAACAGAAAAGUCUUUGGUCUUUAAGACUUGUAAGCCGUUGGUAAUAAAUCUUUGUCUUUGUCAAGAUAUGUGUAAGCCGUGGGUAAUAAAUCUUUUUAAGCCGUGGGUAAGGAAUCUGUUUUCAGUUAUAGUCUUUUGUCUUAAAACUGAGCCGCAUGCUCUUUUUUGCCAUCCCCUAACGCCAUUUUUUAUACAUGCACCACCAACCCAUAUUCUCGGUCCAUUAGGGGAUGGAAUAAGUUUCUUUUAGAGGCAGCAAGGGACAAUGUUUUCAGUUAUAGUCCUUGUCUUAGGACUUUCUCAAACUGUACUAUUCAAAUAACUGAAAACAGAAAAGGCUUUGGUCUUUAAGACUUGUAAGCCGUGGGUAAUAAAUCUUUGUCUUUGUCAAGACAUGUGUAAGCCGUGGGUAAUAAAUCUUUGUAAGAGUGGGUAAGGAAUCUGUUUUCAGUUAUAGUCUUCUGUCUUAAGACUGAGCCGCAUGCUCUUAUUUGCCAUCCCCUAACGCCCUUCUUUAUACAUGCACCACCAACCCAUAUUCUCGGUCCAUUAGGGGAUGGCAUAAGUUUCUUUUAGAGACAGCAAGGGACAAUGUUUUCAGUUAUAGUCCUUGUCUUAGGACUUUCUCAAACUGUACCAUUCAAAUAAUUGAAAACAGAAAAGGCUUUGGUCUUUAAGACUUGUAAGCCGUGGGUAAUAAAUCUUUGUCUUUGUCAAGACAUGUGUAAGCCGUGGAUAAUAAAUCUUUGUAAACCGUGGGUAAGGAAUCUGUUUUCAGUUAUAGUCUUUUGUCUUAAGACUGAGCCGCAUGCUCUUAUUUGUCAUCCCCUAACGCCCUUCUUUAUACAUGCACCACCAACCCAUAUUCUCGGUCCAUUAGAGGAUGGCAUAAGUUUCUUUUAGAGACCGCAAAGGACUGUUUUCAGUUAUAGUCCUUGUCUUAGGACUUUCUCAAACUGUACCAUUCAAAUAACUGAAAACAGAAUAGUCUUUGGUCUUUAAGACUUGUAAGCCGUGGGUAAUAAAUCUUUGUCUUUGUCAAGACAUGUGUAAGCCGUGGGUAAUAAAUCUUUGUAAGCCGUGGGUAAGGAAUCUGUUUUCAGUUAUAGUCUUUUGUUUUAAGACUGAGCCACAUGCUCUUAUUUGCCAUCCCCUAACGCCCUUCUUUAUACAUGCACCACCAACCCAUAUUCUCGGUCCAUUAGGGGAUGUCAUAAGUUUCUUUUAGAGGCAGCAAGGGACAAUGUUUUCAGUUAUAGUCCUUGUCUUAGGACUUUCUCAAACUGUACCAUUCAAAUAACUGAAAACAGAAAAUGCUUUGGUCUUUAAGACUUGUAAGCCAUGGGUAAUAAAUCUUUGUCUUUGUCAAGACAUGUGUAAGCCGUGGGUAAUAAAUCUUUGUAAGCCGUGGGUAAGGAAUCUGUUUUCAGUUAUAGUCUUGUCUUAAAACUGAGCCGUAUGCUCUUAUUUGCCAUCCCCUAACGCCCUUCUUUAUACAUGCACCACCAACCCAUAUUCUCGGUCCAUUAGAAGAUGGCAUAAGUUUCUUUUAGAGACCGCAAGGGACUGUUUUCAGUUUUAGUCCUUGUCUUAGGACUUUCUCAAACUGUACCAUUCAAAUAACUGAAAACAGAAAAGUCUUUGGUCUUUAAGACUUGUAAGCCGUGGGUAAUAAAUCUUUGUCUUUUGUCUUAAAUCUGUUUUCUUUAUACAUGCACCCCCAACCCAUAUUCUCGGUCCAUUAGGGGAUGGCAUAAGUUUCUUUUAAAGGCAGCAAGGGACAAUGUUUUCAGUUAUAGUCCUUGUCUUAGGACUUUCUCAAACUGUACCAUUCAAAUAACUGAAAACAGAAAAAUCUUUGGUCUUUAAGACUUGUAAGCCGUGGGUAAUAAAUAUUUGUCUUUGUCAAGACAUGUGUAAGCCGUGGGUAAUAAAUAUUUGUAAGCCGUGGGUAAAGAAUCUGUUUUCAGUUAUAGUCUUUUGUCUUAAGACUGAGCCGCAUGCUCUUCUUUGCCAUCCCCUAACGCCCUUUUUUAUACAUGCACCACCAACCCAUAUUCUCGGUCCAUUAGGGGAUAACAUAAGUUUUUUUUAGAAGCAGCAAGGGACAAUGUUUUCAGCUAUAGUCCUUGUCUUAGGACUUUCUGAAACUGUACCAUUCAAAUACCUGAAAACAGAAAAGUCUUUGGUCUUUAAGACUUUUAAGCCGUGGUUAAUAAAUCUUUGUCUUUGUCAAGACAUGUGUAAGCCGUGGGUAAUAAAUCUUUGUAAGCCGUGGGUAAGGAAUCUGUUUUCAGUUAUAGUAUUUUGUCUUAAGACUGAGUCGCAUGCUCUUAUUUGCCAUCCCCUAACGCCCUUCUCUAUACAUGCACCACCAACCCAUUUUCUCGAUCCAUUAGGGGAUGGCAUAAGUUUCUUUUAAAGGCAGCAAGGAACAUUGUUUUCAGUUAUAGUCCUUGUCUUGGGACUUUCUCAAACUGUACCGUUCAAAUAACUGAAAACAGAAAAGUCUUUGGUCUUUAAGACUUGUAAGCCGUGGGUAAUAAAUCUUUGUCUUUGUCUAAGACAUGUGUAAGCCGAGGGUAAUAAAUCUUUGUAAGCCGUGGGUAAAGAAUCUGUUUUCAGUUAUAGUCUUUUGUCUUAAGACUGAGCCGCAUGCUCUUAUUUGCCAUCCCCUAACGCCCUUCUUUAUACAUGCACCACCAACCCAUAUUCUCGAUCCAUUAGGGGAUGGCAUAAGUUUUCUUUAGAGGCAGCAAGGGACAUUGUUUUCAGUUAUAUCCUUGUCUUAGGACUUUCUCAAACUGUACCAUUCAAAUAACUGAAAACAGAAAAGUCUUUGGUCUUUAAGACUUGUAAGCCGUGGGUAAUAAAUAUUUGUCUUUGUCAAGACAUGUGUAAGCCGUGGGUAAUAAAUCUUUGUAAGCCGUGGGUAAGGAAUCUGUUUUCAGUUAUAGUCUUUUGUCUUAAGACUGAGCCGUAUGCUCUUAUUUGCCAUCCCCUAACGCCCUUUUUUAUACAUGCACCACCAACCCAUAUUCUCGGUCCAUUAGAAGAUGGCAUAAGUUUCUUUUAGAGACCGCAAGGGACUGUUUUCAGUUAUAGUCCUUGUCUUGGGACUUUCUCAAACUGUACCAUUCAAAUAACUGAAAACAGAAAAGCUUUGGUCUUUAAGACUUGUAAGCCGUGGGUAAUAAAUCUUUGUCUUUGUCAAGACAUGUGUAAGCCGUGGGUAAUAAAUCUUUGUAAGCCGUGGGUAAGGAAUCUGUUUUCAGUUAUAGUCUUUUGUCUUAAGACUGAACCGCAUGCUCUUAUUUGCCAUCCCCUAACGCCCUUCUUUAUACAUGCACCACCAACCCAUAUUCUCGGUCCAUUAGGGGAUGGCAUAAGUUUCUUUUAAAGGCAGCAAGGGACAAUGUUUUCAGUUAUAGUCCUUGUCUUAGGACUUUCUCAAACUGUACCAUUCAAAUAACUGAAAACAGAAAAGUCUUUGGUCUUUAAGACUUGUAAGCCGUGGGUAAUAAAUCUUUGUCUUUGUCAAGACAUGUGUAAGCCGUGGGUAAUAAAUAUUUGUAAGCCGUGGGUAAAGAAUCUGUUUUCAGUUAUAGUCUUUUGUCUUAAGACUGAGCCGCAUGCUCUUCUUUGCCAUCCCCUAACGCCCUUCUUUAUACAUGCACCACCAACCCAUAUUCUCGGUCCAUUAGGGGAUGACAUAAGUUUCUUUUAGAGGCAGCAAGGGACAAUGUUUUCAGCUAUAGUCCUUGUCUUAGGACUUUCUGAAACUGUACCAUUCAAAUAACUGAAAACAGAAAAGUCUUUGCUCUUUAAGACUUUUAAGCCGUGGGUAAUAAAUCUUUGUCUUUGUCAAGACAUGUGUAAGCCGUGGGUAAUAAAUAUUUGUAAGCCGUGGGUAAAGAAUCUGUUUUCAGUUAUAGUCUUUUGUCUUAAGACUGAGCCGCAUGCUCUUCUUUGCCAUCCCCUAACGCCCUUCUUUAUACAUGCACCACCAACCCAUAUUCUCGGUCCAUUAGGGGAUGACAUAAGUUUCUUUUAGAGGCAGCAAGGGACAAUGUUUUCAGCUAUAGUCCUUGUCUUAGACUUUCUGAAACUGUACCAUUCAAAUAACUGAAAACAGAAAAGUCUUUGCUCUUUAAGACUUUAAGCCGUGGGUAAUAAAUCUUUGUCUUUGUCAAGACAUGUGUAAGCCGUGGGUAAUAAAUCUUUGUAAGCCGUGGGCAAUAAAUCUUUGUAAGCCGUGGGUAAGGAAUCUGUUUUCAGUUAUAGUCUUUUGUCUUAAGACUGAGCCGCAUGCUCUUAUUUGCCAUCCCCUAACGCCCUUCUUUAUACAUGCACCACCAACCCAUAUUCUCGGUCCAUUAGGGGAUGGCAUAAGUUUCUUUUAGAGGCAGCAAGGGACAAUGUUUUCAGUUAUAGUCCUUGUCUUAGGACUUUCUCAAACUGUACCAUUCAAAUAACUGAAAACAGAAAAGUCUUUGGUCUUUAAGACUUGUAAGCCGUGGGUAAUAAAUAUUUGUCUUUGUCUAAGACAUGUGUAAGCCGAGGGUAAUAAAUCUUUGUAAGCCGUGGGUAAAGAAUCUGUUUUCAGUUAUAGUCUUUUGUCUUAAGACUGAGCCGCAUGCUCUUAUUUGCCAUCCCCUAACGCCCUUCUAUACAUGCACCACCAACCCAUAUUCUCGAUCCAUUAGGGGAUGGCAUAAGUUUCUUUAGAGGCAGCAAGGGACAUUGUUUUCAGUUAUAGUCCUUGUCUUAGGACUUUCUCAAACUGUACCAUUCAAAUAACUGAAAACAGAAAAGUCUUUGGUCUUUAAGACUUGUAAGCCGUGGGUAAUAAAUCUUUGUCUUUGUCAAGACAUGUGUAAGCCGUGGGUAAUAAAUCUUUGUAAGCCGUGGGUAAGGAAUCUGUUUUCAGUUAUAGUCUUUUGUCUUAAGACUGAGCCGCAUGCUCUUAUUUGCCAUCCCCUAACGCCCUUUUUAUACAUGCACCACCAACCCAUAUUCUCGGUCCAUUAGGGGAUGGCAUAAGUUUCUUUUAGAGGACCGCAAGGGACUGUUUUCAGUUAUAGUCCUUGUCUUGGGACUUUCUCAAACUGUACCAUUCAAAUAACUGAAAACAGAAAAGUCUUUGGUCUUUAAGACUUGUAAGCCGUGGGUAAUAAAUCUUUGUCUUUGUCAAGACAUGUGUAAGCCGUGGGUAAUAAAUCUUUGUAAGCCGUGGGUAAGGAAUCUGUUUUCAGUUAUAGUCUUUUGUCUUAAGACUGAGCCGCAUGCUCUUAUUUGCCAUCCCCUAACGCCCUUCUUUAUACAUGCACCACCAACCCAUAUUCUCGGUCCAUUAGGGGAUGGCAUAAGUUUCUUUUAAGGCAGCAAGGGACAAUGUUUUCAGUUAUAGUCCUUGUCUUAGGACUUUCUCAAACUGUACCAUUCAAAUAACUGAAAACAGAAAAGUCUUUGGUCUUUAAGACUUGUAAGCCGUGGGUAAUAAAUCUUUGUCUUUGUCAAGACAUGUGUAAGCCGUGGGUAAUAAAUAUUUGUAAGCCGUGGGUAAAGAAUCUGUUUUCAGUUAUAGUCUUUUGUCUUAAGACUGAGCCGCAUGCUCUUCUUUGCCAUCCCCUAACGCCCUUCUUUAUACAUGCACCACCAACCCAUAUUCUCGGUCCAUUAGGGGAUGACAUAAGUUUCUUUUAGAGGCAGCAAGGGACAAUGUUUUCAGCUAUAGUCCUUGUCUUAAGACUUUCUGAAACUGUACCAUUCAAAUAACUGAAAACAGAAAAGUCUUUGCUCUUUAAGACUUUAAGCCGUGGGUAAUAAAUCUUUGUCUUUGUCAAGACAUGUGUAAGCCGUGGGUAAUAAAUCUUUGUAAGCCGUGGGCAAUAAAUCUUUGUAAGCCGUGGGUAAGGAAUCUGUUUUCAGUUAUAGUCUUUUGUCUUAAGACUGAGCCGCAUGCUCUUAUUUGCCAUCCCCUAACGCCCUUCUUUAUACAUGCACCACCAACCCAUAUUCUCGGUCCAUUAGGAGAUGGCAUAAGUUUCUUUUAGAGGCAGCAAGGGACAAUGUUUUCAGUUAUAGUCCUUGUCUUAGGACUUUCUCAAACUGUACCGUUCAAAUAACUGAAAACAGAAAAGUCUUUGGUCUUUAAGACUUGUAAGCCGUGGGUAAUAAAUAUUUGUCUUUGUCUAAGACAUGUGUAAGCCGAGGGUAAUAAAUCUAUGUAAGCCGUGGGUAAAGAAUCUGUUUUCAGUUAUAGUCUUUUGUCUUAAGACUGAGCCGCAUGCUCUUAUUUGCCAUCCCCUAACGCCCUUCUCAAUACAUGCACCACCAACCCAUAUUCUCGAUCCAUGAGGGGAUGGCAUAAGUUUUCUUUAGAGGCAGCAAGGGACAUUGUUUUCAGUUAUAAUCCUUGUCUUAGGACUUUCUCAAACUGUACCAUUCAAAUAACUGAAAACAGAAAAGUCUUUGGUCUUUAAGACUUGUAAGCCGUGGGUAAUAAAUAUUUGUCUUUGUCAAGACAUGUGUAAGCCGUGGGUAAUAAAUCUUUGUAAGCCGUGGGUAAGGAAUCUGUUUUCAGUUAUAGUCUUUUGUCUUAAGACUGAGCCGCAUGCUCUUAUUUGCCAUCCCCUAACGCCCUUUUUAUACAUGCACCACCAACCCAUAUUCUCGGUCCAUUAGAAGAUGGCAUAAGUUUCUUUUAGAGACCGCAAGGGACUGUUUUCAGUUAUAGUCCUUGUCUUGGGACUUUCUCAAACUGUACCAUUCAAAUAACUGAAAACAGAAAAAGCUUUGGUCUUUAAGACUUGUAAGCCAUGGGUAAUAAAUCUUUGUCUUUGUCAAGACAUGUGUAAGCCGUGGGUAAUAAAUCUUUGUAAGCCGUGGGUAAGGAAUCUGUUUUUAGUUAUAGUCUUUUGUCUUAAGACUGAGCCGCAUGCUCUUAUUUGCCAUCCCCUAACGCCCUUCUUUAUACAUGCACCACCAACCCAUAUUCUCGGUCCAUUAGGGGAUGGCAUAAGUUUCUUUUAAAGGCAGCAAGGGACAAUGUUUUCAGUUAUAGUCCUUGUCUUAGGACUUUCUCAAACUGUACCAUUCAAAUAACUGAAAACAGAAAAGUCUUUGGUCUUUAAGACUUGUAAGCCGUGGGUAAUAAAUCUUUGUCUUUGUCAAGACAUGUGUAAGCCGUGGGUAAUAAAUAUUUGUAAGCCGUGGGUAAAGAAUCUGUUUUCAGUUAUAGUCUUUUGUCUUAAGACUGAGCCGCAUGCUCUUCUUUGCCAUCCCCUAACGCCCUUCUUUAUACAUGCACCACCAACCCAUAUUCUCGGUCCAUUAGGGGAUGACAUAAGUUUCUUUUAGAGGCAGCAAGGGACAAUGUUUUCAGCUAUAGUCCUUGUCUUAGGACUUUCUGAAACUAUACCAUUCAAAUAACUGAAAACAGAAAAGUCUUUGCUCUUUAAGACUUUUAAGCCGUGGGUAAUAAAUCUUUGUCUUUGUCAAGACAUGUGUAAGCCGUGGGUAAUAAAUAUUUGUAAGCCGUGGGUAAAGAAUCUGUUUUCAGUUGUAGUCUUUUGUCUUAAGACUGAGCCGCAUGCUCUUCUUUGCCAUCCCCUAACGCCCUUCUUUAUACAUGCACCACCAACCCAUAUUCUCGGUCCAUUAGGGGAUGACAUAAGUUUCUUUUAGAGGCAGCAAGGGACAAUGUUUUCAGCUAUAGUCCUUGUCUUAAGACUUUCUGAAACUGUACCAUUCAAAUAACUGAAAACAGAAAAGUCUUUGCUCUUUAAGACUUUUAAGCCGUGGGUAAUAAAUCUUUGUCUUUGUCAAGACAUGUGUAAGCCGUGGGUAAUAAAUCUUUGUAAGCCGUGGGCAAUAAAUCUUUGUAAGCCGUGGGUAAGGAAUCUGUUUUCAGUUAUAGUCUUUUGUCUUAAGACUGAGCCGCAUGCUCUUAUUUGCCAUCCCCUAACGCCCUUCUUUAUACAUGCACCACCAACCCAUAUUCUCGGUCCAUUAGGAGAUGGCAUAAGUUUCUUUUAGAGGCAGCAAGGGACAAUGUUUUCAGUUAUAGUCCUUGUCUUAGGACUUUCUCAAACUGUACCGUUCAAAUAACUGAAAACAGAAAAGUCUUUGGUCUUUAAGACUUGUAAGCCGUGGGUAAUAAAUAUUUGUCUUUGUCUAAGACAUGUGUAAGCCGAGGGUAAUAAAUCUAUGUAAGCCGUGGGUAAAGAAUCUGUUUUCAGUUAUAGUCUUUUGUCUUAAGACUGAGCCGCAUGCUCUUAUUUGCCAUCCCCUAACGCCCUUCUCUAUACAUGCACCACCAACCCAUUUUCUCGAUCCAUUAGGGGAUGGCAUAAGUUUCUUUUAAAGGCAGCAAGGAACAUUGUUUUCAGUUAUAGUCCUUGUCUUGGGACUUUCUCAAACUGUACCGUUCAAAUAACUGAAAACAGAAAAGUUUUGGUCUUUAAGACUUGUAAGCCGUGGGUAAUAAAUCUUUGUCUUUGUCUAAGACAUGUGUAAGCCGAGGGUAAUAAAUCUUUGUAAGCCGUGGGUAAGGAAUCUGUUUUCAGUUAUAGUCUUUUGUCUUAAGACUGAGCCGCAUGCUCUUAUUUGCCAUCCCCUAACGCCCUUCUCAAUACAUGCACCACCAACCCAUAUUCUCGAUCCAUGAGGGGAUGGCAUAAGUUUUCUUUAGAGGCAGCAAGGGACAUUGUUUUCAGUUAUAAUCCUUGUCUUAGGACUUUCUCAAACUGUACCAUUCAAAUAACUGAAAACAGAAAAGUCUUUGGUCUUUAAGACUUGUAAGCCGUGGGUAAUAAAUAUUUGUCUUUGUCAAGACAUGUGUAAGCCGUGGGUAAUAAAUCUUUGUAAGCCGUGGGUAAGGAAUCUGUUUUCAGUUAUAGUCUUUUGUCUUAAGACUGAGCCGUAUGCUCUUAUUUGCCAUCCCCUAACGCCCUUUUUUAUACAUGCACCACCAACCCAUAUUCUCGGUCCAUUAGAAGAUGGCAUAAGUUUCUUUUAGAGACCGCAAGGGACUGUUUUCAGUUAUAGUCCUUGUCUUGGGACUUUCUCAAACUGUACCAUUCAAAUAACUGAAAACAGAAAAGUCUUUGGUUUUUAAGACUUGUAAGCCGUGGGUAAUAAAUCUUUGUCUUUGUCAAGACAUGUGUAAGCCGUGGGUAAUAAAUCUUUGUAAGCCGUGGGUAAGGAAUCUGUUUUCAGUUAUAGUCUUUUGUCUUAAGACUGAGUCGCAUGCUCUUAUUUGCCAUCCCCUAACGCCCUUCUUUAUACAUGCACCACCAACCCAUAUUCUCGGUCCAUAAGGGGAUGGCAUAAGUUUAUUUUAAAGGCAGCAAGGGACGAUGUUUUAGUUAUAGUCCUUGUCUUAGGACUUUCUCAAACUGUACCAUUCAAAUAACUGAAAACAGAAAAGUCUUUGGUCUUUAAGACUUGUAAGCCGUGGGCAAUAAAUCUUUGUCUUUGUCAAGACAUGUGUAAGCCGUGGGUAAUAAAUCUUUGUAAGCCAUGGGUAAGGAAUUUGUUUUCAGUUAUAGUAUUUUGUCUUAAGACUGAGCCGCAUGCUCUUAUUUGCCAUCCCCUAACGCCCUUCUUUAUACAUGCACCACCAACCCAUAUUCUCGGUCCAUUAGGGGAUGUCAUAAGUUUCUUUUAGAGGCAGCAAGGGACAAUGUUUUCAGUUAUAGUCAUUGUCUUAGGACUUUCUCAAACUGUACCAUUCAAAUAACUGAAAACAGAAAAGGCUUUGGUCUUUAAGACUUGUAAGCCAUGGGUAAUAAAUCUUUGUCUUUGUCAAGACAUGUGUAAGCCGUGGGUAAUAAAUCUUUGUAAGCCGUGGGUAAGGAAUCUGUUUUCAGUUAUAGUAUUUUGUCUUAAGACUGAGCCGCAUGCUCUUAUUUGCCAUCCCCUAACGCCCUUCUUUAUACAUGCACCACCAACCCAUAUUCUCGGUCCAUUAGGGGAUGGCAUAAGUUUCUUUUAAAGGCAGCAAGGGACAAUGUUUUCAGUUAUAGUCCUUGUCUUAGGACUUUCUCAAACUGUACCAUUCAAAUAACUGAAAACAGAAAAGUUUUUGCUCUUUAAGACUUGUAAGCCGUGGGUAAUAAAUCUUUGUCUUUGUCAAGACAUGUGUAAGCCGUGGGUAAUAAAUAUUUGUAAGCCGUGGGUAAAGAAUCUGUUUUCAGUUAUAGUCUUUUGUCUUAAGACUGAGCCGCAUGCUCUUCUUUGCCAUCCCCUAACGCCCUUCUUUAUACAUGUACCACCAACCCAUAUUCUCGGUCCAUUAGGGGAUGACAUAAGUUUCUUUUAGAGGCAGCAAGGGACAAUGUUUUCAGCUAUAGUCCUUGUCUUAGGACUUUCUUAAACUGUACCAUUCAAAAAUAACUGAAAACAGAAAAGUCUUUGCUCUUUAAGACUUUUAAGCCGUGGGUAAUAAAUCUUUGUCUUUGUCAAGACAUGUGUAAGCCGUGGGUAAUAAAUAUUUGUAAGCCGUGGGUAAAGAAUCUGUUUUCAGUUGUAGUCUUUUGUCUUAAGACUGAGCCGCAUGCUCUUCUUUGCCAUCCCCUAACGCCCUUCUUUAUACAUGCACCACCAACCCAUAUUCUCGGUCCAUUAGGGGAUGACAUAAGUUUCUUUUAGAGGCAGCAAGGGACAAUGUUUUCAGUUAUAGUUCUUGUCUUAAAACUUUUUCAAACUGUACCAUUCAAAUAACUGAAAACAGAAAAGUCUUUGGUCUUUAAGACUUGUAAGCCGUGGGUAACAAAUCUUUGCCAAGACAUGUAUAAGCUGUGGGUAAUAAAUCUUUGUAGGCCUGGGAUUUCGGGUAUUCGGAUCGGUUCCGGGUAAGAUCCAUUCGGGUCUGGAUAUUCGGUUAUUUAUAAAUUGUAUCCAAUGAGUACUUGGAACAGUUUGGUUCGGUUUCGGAUCGGUUUCCGGUCGGUUCCGGGUCGGUUCCGGGUAUUAAAUUAUUAAACCGAAACUAAUAUUUUUAUUUAUUUUCUAUUUUCUAUUUUUAUUUUUAAUUUUUUUAAAAAAAAGUUUAAUCCAAAUCGGGUAUAUAUGUAUAGUUUGAAAGUAGUUACAAGGAAAUAGAAGUGGUGCAGUGGUAAAAGUUGAUGUACUUUCAACUUUCCCACCCGGGUUCGAAACCCAUGAGGCGCAAAUCCAUAUUUUUUAAACAUUAUUUCGGUUUAAACGGGUACCCGAUCGGAUCCGGAUAAAAACCCGAACCGACCCGAUACCUGUGGAUAUUCAUAAACAUUACCCAUCGGUUAAAUAUGCCUUAUCCGAAACCGAUCCGAACCGGUCCAUUUCGGGUCGGAUCCGGUUCGGUAUUCGGAUCCGAUUAAAAAGUCCCACGCCUAAAUCUUUGUAAGAUGUGGAUAAGAAAUCUGUUUUCAAAUAGUCUUUUGUCUUAAGACUGAGCCGCAUGCUCUUAUUUGCCAUCCCCUAACGCCCUUCUUUAUACAUGCACCACCAACUCAUAUUCUCGGUCCAUUUAACAAUCUUGCUAUAGGGGAUGGCAUAAGUUUCUUUUAUUGGUAGCAAGGGACAAUGUUUUCAGUUAUAGUCCUUGUCUUAGGACUUUCUCAAACUGUACCUUCAAAUAACUGAAAACAAAAAAAUCUUUGGUCUUUAAGACUUGUAAGCCGUGGGUAUAAAUCUUUGUCUUUGUCAAGACAUGUGUAAGUCGUGGGUAAUAAAUCUUUGUAAGCCGUGGGUAAGGAAUCUGUUUUAUUUAUAGUUUUUUGUCUUAAGACUGAGCCGCAUGCUCUUAUUUGCCAUCCCAUAACGCCCUUCUUUAUACAUGCACCACCAACCCAUAUUCUCGGUCCAUUAGGGGAUGACAUAAGUUUCUUUUAGAGGUAGCAAGAGACAAUAUUUUCAGUUAUAGUCCUUGUCUUAGGACUUUUUCAAACUGUACCAUUCAAAUAACUGAAAACAGAAAAGUCUUUGGUCUUUAAGACAUGUAAGCCGUGGGCAAUAAAUCUUUGUCUUUGUCAAGACAUGUGUAAGCCGUGGGUAAUAAAUCUUUGUAAGCCGUGGGUAAGGAAUCUGUUUUCAGUUAUAAUCUUUUGUCUUAAGACUGAGCCGCAUGCUCUUAUUUGCCAUCCCCUAACGCCCUUCUUUAUACAUGCACCACCAACCCAUAUUCUCGGUCCAUUAGGGGAUGGCAUAAGUUUCUUUUAGAGACUGCAAGAGACAAUGUUUUCAGUUAUAGUCUUUUU
rnacentral:lncRNA from 1 species